UGCCCCAUGGCCAAGCGGUAAGGCAUUGGACUCUGACUCCAAGACCGUUAGUUCGAAUCUAACUGGGGCAGCCA
rnacentral:tRNA from 1 species